AGACCGCAGAUCUCGGAA
rnacentral:miRNA from 1 species